rnacentral:rRNA from 1 species
CCUACGGGAGGCAGCAGUGAGGAAUAUUGGUCAAUGGGGGGAACCCUGAUGCAGCGACGCCGCGUGGGUGAAGGAGUAUUUCGGUAUGUAAAGCCCUAUCAGCAGGGAAGAACAAUGACGGUACCUGACUAAGAAGCACCGGCUAAAUACGUGCCAGCAGCCGCGGUAAUACGUAUGGUGCAAGCGUUAUCCGGAUUUAUUGGGUUUAAAGGGUGCGUAGGCGGAUCGUUAAGUCAGUGGUCAAAUUGAGGGGCUCAACCCCUUCCCGCCAUUGAAACUGGCGCUCUUGAGUGGAAGAGAAGUAUGCGGAAUGCGUGGUGUAGCGGUGAAAUGCAUAGAUAUCACGCAGAACCCCGAUUGCGAAGGCAGCAUGCCGGCUUCCGACUGACGCUGAAGCACGAAAGCGUGGGGAUCGAACAGGAUUAGAUACCCCUGUAGUC